AAGUCGUAACAAGGUUUCCGUAGGUGAACCUGCGGAAGGAUCAUUAUUGAAUUACAGUUGGACUGAUGCUGGCUUUUGCAAGUGCUCGUCCUUCUUUCUUUCAUUUUUUCUCUUGUGCACCUUUUGUAGUCUUGGAUUGAAUGAACCCCUUCGCAGCAAUGCGGUUUUGGGGGGUUGACGCUGCUUGCCUCGUCUCCCCCUGCUUCGUUCUCCAGGACUAUGUUUUCAUACACCAUAAUAAAGUUACAGAAUGUCUUUUUGAAUGAUUGUGCUAGUCGCAGUCUUUUAAACCUUAAUACA
rnacentral:misc_RNA from 1 species